CUGAUAGUUUGUCCUUCUUUAUUUCCUACAGCUAUAUAUAUAUAUAUAUACCCCACACACUCACGUGUACAGGUGUAGCAACUGCUUUUAUAGGACAGUUGUGCCGAUAGACACGUCAUCGCACAUCCUACUAGGUAUCGCUUCUUCUUUCUUCCCUCCUUUUUGCGAAUGCUCCAAUCGGCUGUUUUUUCUCAGCGCACACGAGCUAUAAAAACUAGUAGCAAGGGGAAACGCGCGUUUCGUUUGAGCCGUUGCUGCCCUAUCUAGCGUGAUCGUAGAGCAGUGCGUCAGCGUCAACAACUCUCUCCUUCCUCCCCUGUUUUCCUUUCUUUUGCGUUGUCUCUCUUUCUCUGCUUCCAUUGUACUGUGUGCACGGUAAAAGAUAUAUGCAUAUAUUUAACACACACACACCUACAUAUAUAUAUACGAACAAUUGUUUUUUUUUUUGGCGUACAUAGGACCUGCCCAUCUCCAGUAGACUCAGUGUGUGCCCGCGUUUCGUACUGCGCAUACCUCGUCCCUCCAUCCCCUAGUCGUUUUUCCUUUCGAUCUCUUUAGCGCGCGCCCCGUUGACCCUCUCGGCACAAUGUCAGGCGGCAGCGGAGCUCAGGGUCACUUCAUGAUUGGCAAGGGCAAUGGCCCCACAUCGUUCAACUGGCACGGGUCGGUGCCGACGGUCAUGGUAGACAACUGCUUCGAGCCCAACUUCCGCCAAUUCGACUUCUUCUUGGAGAACAACGAGGUGCCGAACGCCGGCUUGGUCGAGCGUGUGUUUAAGCCGGAGGAUGGCGAGUCGCACUGGAACCUGCGCACCAUCAUGAACACGAACGCCCGCUGCACCCCGGUGCUCGUUACGAGCCUCUUUGGUGCCACCUUCGUGAACUUCCUCUACACCCGCCUCCUGAACAAAACCGGCACGUCCGUCCGCUGGUCCUUCUGGACGUGCUUUGCUGCAAUGCUGGUGUGGAAUAAUUUCACCAAGUUUGUUGCCCGCGAGCGGUACUUCCAGCGCGACUUCCAGCGCAACCAGCUGUACUCGCACGAUGAGCUCCGUCAUCAGCGCGACCAGCAGCGUGUUCGUGAGGCACUGUACGAGAAAAACUUUGUGACCAACCCAGUAGCAGAGUAUCGCAUCAAGAUGUGGCAGGUGGCGGACCGGUUUGCGUAACGCUGCUACCGUUACGAAGCGCUGCGCUGAACUCCCUGAGCGCUCAUCCGCAUCUCUGCGACGAUGCGCGCGUGGCUAGUUAUGCCCCCCUCUUCAUGUCUUACUGUAUUGCUCCCUUUUGUGGAACGAUGACGUUUCUUUCCAAGAGUACAGACAAAAAAAUUUCGUUUUUUUUUUCGAAAGCAAGGCGCAUGCCAAAGCCAGAACUUGUAGUGAUGUGCUUCGACGCUGCCCCUCAGGCCCCCCGCUGUUCCCGCCCCUUUACUCCCUUCCUCACCUGUGCUUCUGCAGCCGCGAAACCUGGGAAGACAGAAGAGGUAGAAAAGCAUGUGUAGCGAUCA
rnacentral:misc_RNA from 1 species